UGCAAGGCACGAGCCUUGGUACUAUUCGCAGGUUCCAAUGGAAAUUGGAAAUUUCAGCUUCUCCCACAUCGUUUCUCAAACGAAUUUCAAUUUGCAGCAGUCCCACAUCGAAAAUCUUUUCAAAUUUUGUGAGAUUUUAGGCCUUAUAAAUAAGCCUUCUUCUCACUGUUCAAGGGGGAGGUUUUGAGACCUGAGAGUACCCCUAAAAGGUUUGGGAAAUCUUGGUUCAAUAGUUCAAUUUUUGUGGUUGUUCGAGUUGAAAGAGGUGGUGGAAUCGUCUUCUCAACUCGUCGUUUUAGUUCGCUGCUCAGUGAAGGGUAAUUCUUUCUUCUUUUAAAUAUUUUUAUUAUUUCGUUGUGUGUUGAAUGACUGGAUAAGAUCAGUUUAGUUGUUGUAUCUGUUAGUAAUUUUUGAUUUUUUGGUUUUGCUGUCCAUUUUGAUGUCUUAGUAAUUAGUAAAACAACUAAUUUUCUUGUUUGUCGUAGAUACUAUUUAGUUCUUUGUUUAUGUUUCUGUUUACCAUUAAAUUCAUAUUUAUUGAAAAGAGGUUGGUUGGUAGUAUUACUUCGUUCUUGUUUACGUGAGACAGCCCUUAUGUUUAGCUUCUCUUGUAUGAUAAAUUGGUCGAUUUGUUCUAGUCAACAUUCAUAUAAAGAGUAGCUUAGAAUUUCAUUAUGAUAAAUACUUUGGGUUAUAUAUGACUAGUAUGCAUCCUGGUUCAGUUUUCAACAUGUUGGUAUUUGUUAUUGUUGUUUUCUUUUCUUUCCAAAAUAGAGGCAGAAUAUCAAUUAACUAAAGUGAAGGUUGUUUUUCGUUUUAUCUGCUGUUUUUGUUGAUGUAUUAGCUGUUUUUUCACCAUUUUCGAAUCCCAUGAUCGUGCUACUGCCUAACAUAUCCUGUUUUAAUCAAGUUUAUAUCCCCAUUUUGUUUAAAUUUUAGUCGAUAUUGCUCACCAUCUGCGGUAAGGUUCCGAUCGAGAGCUUUAUAGAUUACUUGAAGACUGUAUCAUGUGGUCUUUCUCUCUGAUUGUCUUGUUGUCCAGCAUGUUUUCUUUAUACUUCAAGCUGUAGGUAGACUGCUAAUCACUUGUUCAUCGUAGUGGCAUUUGCUCUUAUUACAUCUAUGUUUGCUUUCUUACCAAGUUUAUUUUUUUUAUACAUAUGUAUGUAUUUUGGGUGUUGGUUUCACUUGCUCAAAUCUUGUCAUGUGUUUAUUUCCAACAAACUAAAUCCUAAGCAUGCUUUCUUUCUUUCUUUACUAGCUUAAGCAGUGAUAGUUCUGAUGCUUUAAAUAUCUUUACUGUUAACUUGAACUCUCUACAUGGUUAUAAGUUGUUAGCUUAGCUAGAUAGUGUUUUGUGUUGGUUCUAACUUUAGUUCCCUUUUCUUUUUCAUAUGAACCUUCUUGUUCGAGUCCAAUUGGACUCCCCUCUCUUGCAUUCGAUCCUCUUUGAGUCGACCUCCAUCAAGUUUUGAAAGGAAGCUAAUUUUAUUGGGUUAAAACCCAAAAGACAGCAGCAGCAGUAGCCUUGAAAAGGCUGAAAUUUGAUAAUUUUUGGACUCUCAAAAGUCCACUAAGUGCAGCAAAUUUGCAGCAGCCUCGAAGGGAUGGAAAUAAUAUUUUUUUCGGACUUUUAAAAAGUCCAAAGGCAGUAGUAGCAGCAGCCUGAAAGGCUGGAAAAUAAAAUUGGACUUUAAAAAGUCCAAUUUCCAGCGCAGCAAGCAAGAAGCAGCAAGCAAGCUUAAAAUUGUCCAAAGUUUUGUUUGCACUUUGUUUUCAUUAUAUUGUGAUUUUGUGAUAAUUGCUCUUAACUUCUAACAUUUAUUUUCUUAACUUAGAUGAAUCUUUGGAGGGAUUUUUAUUUCAUAUUUUGUCGCUUGUUUAUUUUAAAAUUUCCAAAUUUCCAAAACCCAUUUUAAAUUAGGUAAUUUAAGCUUAUUAGAAUAACUUGAGAACCUUUCAUGUUCUUUCAUAGUUAUUGAAAAGCUUUAAUCCAUGUUUAUGAGUUUGAAUUAAUUGUAUAAAAACUUGACUAGGGAUAAAAUUUUAAGUUAGGAUUAUUUUUGGA
rnacentral:lncRNA from 1 species